UACGUAGGGGGCAAGCGUUGUCCGGAAUUAUUGGGCGUAAAGAGCGUGUAGGCGGUCCGGUAAGUCGGCUGUGAAAGUCCAGGGCUCAACCCUGGGAUGCCGGUCGAUACUGCAGGGCUAGAGUUCGGAAGAGGCGAGUGGAAUUCCUGGUGUAGCGGUGGAAUGCGCAGAUAUCAGGAGGAACACCAAUAGCGAAGGCAGCUCGCUGGGACGAUACUGACGCUAAGGCGCGAAAGCGUGGGGAGCGAACAGG
rnacentral:rRNA from 1 species